GAGACAAAGUAGAAAAGAUGGAAAAACUAAGCCCUGGAGACCUACUUGAUGAAGUGCAUGAGGCUGCGGAGGAGUUACAGAUGUUAAUUGACCAGAAAUCUUACCUACUGGUCAAAGCUGAGAGCUGGGAAAGUGGCAAACGACCAAGUAAAUUUGAAGAUCCAGAGCAACUACAAGAACUAAAAGACAAUGAAAAUAAGCCACAAGUCAUAAACUCCAUCAGUGAAACAAAUCUCAAUCUAACCUCAGCUCAGACAUUGCGAAAUUGGAAUUCACAGAACCCAAACCCAGGCACCAAUCUCUCUGCUUCUCAGUGGGGUUCCUCAGAAGAUACGCUACGACAGCAGACAAUGUGGCCUUCACGACUCUCAGUCCUUGGUGAUACCAUUCUCAAUGGACGUGAAGUAAGGACACAUGAAAGUGCAAGUGCAUUGUCAUUGGCAACAUUUACUUCCUCGUUGAUUGAGUUUGUUGCCAGGCUUCAAAACAUCGUACACUCAUUUGAGGAACUCAG
rnacentral:lncRNA from 1 species